rnacentral:rRNA from 1 species
UACGAAGGGGGCUAGCGUUGCUCGGAAUCACUGGGCGUAAAGGGCGCGUAGGCGGGCUUUCAAGUCGUCUGUGAAAUCCCUGGGCUUAACCCAGGAACUGCAGACGAUACUGUUAGUCUUGAAUGCUUGAGAGGGUGGCGGAAUUCCAGGUGUAGAAGUGAAAUUCGUAGAUAUCUGGAGGAACAUCGGCGGCGAAGGCGGCCACCUGGCAAGACAUUGACGCUAAAGCGCGAAAGUGCGGGGAUCAAACAGG